rnacentral:rRNA from 1 species
GAUGAACGCGGCGGCGUGCCUAACACAUGCAAGUCGAGCGAAGCACUUUGCUUAGAUUCUUCGGAUGAAGAGGAUUGUGACUGAGCGGCGGACGGGUGAGUAACGCGUGGGUAACCUGCCUCAUACAGGGGGAUAACAGUUAGACAUGACUGCUAAUACCGCAUAAGACCACAGCACCGCAUGGUGCGGGGGUAAAAACUCCGGUGGUAUGAGAUGGACCCGCGUCUGAUUAGCUAGUUGGUAAGGUAACGGCUUACCAAGGCGACGAUCAGUAGCCGACCUGAGAGGGUGACCGGCCACAUUGGGACUGAGACACGGCCCAAACUCCUACGGGAGGCAGCAGUGGGGAAUAUUGCACAAUGGGGGAAACCCUGAUGCAGCGACGCCGCGUGAGCGAAGAAGUAUUUCGGUAUGUAAAGCUCUAUCAGCAGGGAAGAAAAUGACGGUACCUGACUAAGAAGCACCGGCUAAAUACGUGCCAGCAGCCGCGGUAAUACGUAUGGUGCAAGCGUUAUCCGGAUUUACUGGGUGUAAAGGGAGCGUAGACGGAUGGGCAAGUCUGAUGUGAAAACCCGGGGCUCAACCCCGGGACUGCAUUGGAAACUGUUCAUCUAGAGUGCUGGAGAGGUAAGUGGAAUUCCUAGUGUAGCGGUGAAAUACGUAGAUAUUAGGAGGAACACCAGUGGCGAAGGCGGCUUACUGGACAGUAACUGACGUUGAGGCUCGAAAGCGUGGGGAGCAAACAGG